GGCCCUUCCUCAGGCAAUUUAUAAUUAACUGAUCAGAAUCAGUUACAGAUUUCUUCGUUCUUUUCCCUACUUUGCCUGAGGAAGGGCCCUGU
rnacentral:sRNA from 1 species